GACGAACGCUGGCGGCGCGCCUAACACAUGCAAGUCGAACGGAGUCAAGAGGAGCUUGCUUUUCUUGACUUAGUGGCGAACGGGUGAGUAACGCGUGAGUAACCUGCCCUGGAGUGGGGGACAACAGUUGGAAACGACUGCUAAUACCGCAUAAGCCCACGGAUCCGCAUGGAUCUGCGGGAAAAGGAUUUAUUCGCUUCAGGAUGGACUCGCGUCCAAUUAGCUAGUUGGUGAGGUAACGGCCCACCAAGGCGACGAUUGGUAGCCGGACUGAGAGGUUGAACGGCCACAUUGGGACUGAGACACGGCCCAGACUCCUACGGGAGGCAGCAGUGGGGGAUAUUGCACAAUGGGGGAAACCCUGAUGCAGCGACGCCGCGUGGAGGAAGAAGGUGUUCGGAUUGUAAACUCCUGUCGUUAGGGACGAUAAUGACGGUACCUAACAAGAAAGCACCGGCUAACUACGUG
rnacentral:rRNA from 1 species